UGGGGGAGCGGGCUUGCCCGCGAUAUAAGGCGUGUCAGUCAGGACAUCAUGUACUGAUACACCGCCAUCGCGGGCAAGCCCGCUCCCACA
rnacentral:antisense_RNA from 1 species